rnacentral:rRNA from 1 species
ACUCAAAGGAAUAGACGGGGAGGCGCACAACCAGUGGAGCGUGUGGUUCAAUUCGAGACGAAGCGAAAAACCUCACCAGGGUUUGACAUGUAGUCGUACAUUUUCCCGGAAACGGGAAGAAAUCCGCAAGGAUGAUUACACAGGUGUUGCAUGGCUGUCGUCAGCUCUAGGCGUGAGCUGUCGGCUUAAGUGCCCCAUAGAGCGCAACUCUUGUCCAAUGUUAUAUAUUCAUUGGAGACUGCUCUGAUUUAUGUCAGAGAGGAAGGAAAGCAUGACGUCAAGUCAGCACGACCCUUAUACCCUGGGCUACACACACCCUACAAUGGCGAAAAACAAUGAGUCGCAAAACGGUAACGUUAAGCAAAUCUCUGAAAUUUCGCCUCAGUUCAGAUUGGGGGCUGAAACUCGCCCCCAUGAAGCCGGAAUUGGUAGUAAUCGCGGAUCAGCAGGCCGCGGUGAAUACGUUCUCGCCUCUUGUACACACCGCCCGU